GUUCAUUACAAGAUCACAGGACACAUGCACCCAACAGUUUCCAAAGCCCUGCGUAUGGACUUCUUGGGAGAUCUUGAGCAGAUUUUCAACAGAAUGGACAAGACCUGAAGUCACCCUGAGGCUACUGGAAAUUGAACCCAGGGCUUCACAAUGCUAGGAAAGUGCUCUACCAUUGAGAUACAUCUCCAGCCCAGUGUUUAGGUGAUCUCAAAUUAGGCAACAAGCACAACCACUGUGAAAGAUUAAUGCUGAAUACUGGGGAUCCAACUCAGGACCUUGUGCUUGUGAGGCAGGUAGCCCUGGCUGGCCUCAAACUCACAGCAAUCUUCCUGCCUCAGCCUCCCUAGUGUGUGUGCCACACCCAGUUCCUUUGAGAUUUAACAGCAAGUGAUCAGGCUGUGUGAGAAGUCGGUUUCUUGAAUUGCCACCAGAGGGCGAUCAACCCAAACUUUGCUUGAAUAUGAAGAGUAACCAUAUGUUGUAGUAGAAAUAAGGCAAGAGUAAACUACAGAUUUUCACACUUUCACAUAUUAAGAAAAGGAAGGGAAACUUAAAAUCUAUAAUCAGAGGAGCACUGUGCAUCUAGUACACUUUAGAGGGUACAUUUCAAGAUCACACAUUGGAUGUAGUUGUCAUUUCACUUUGACAGCUUUUUUUUUUAAAGACUUUCAAUUUUUUAAAAAAGACUGCCAAUUUGGGGCUUUUUGUUUGUUUGUUUGUUUUUUUGAGACAGGGUCUGGCUAGUUCAGACUGGCCUUGAACUCACUAUGUAGCCCAGGCUAGCCUCAAACUCACAGCAAUCCUCCUGCUUCAGCUUCCUGGGUGCUGGAAUGACAGGCAUGCACUACCCUAUCUGGCUUAUUUUGAUAUCUUUGACAUCUUUAGUAACUACUGGCCUUCGCUGUAAGGUAGUCCUUCAUGUGCCUCUGUCAGAUGUCUUCUCAUGAACACAUUCAGAUGAUUCAUUCCUUGCUAAAGGACAAAAAAAUUCUGCUGUGAUUUUCUUAAUGCUUCACAUCAUAGAGGAACUUAUUGUCAUCCCAUCUUAACAAAAGUGAUAACAACCACGGCUUCCAGAACAAAGUACCACAGAUUGGAGGCUUAAAUAACAAAAAUUUAUAUCUCGCAAUUCUGGGGGCUAGAAGUCCAUAAUGAAGGUGCCAGUGGAUUGGUUUAUUGUGAGGCCUCUCUCUUUGGCCUGCAGAUGGCCAUCUUAUCCUUGUGUAUUCAUGCAGCCUUCCCUCUGUGCAUGUCUGUGUCCAUGUUCCCUCUUCUGAGCACAGUAGUCCUGUUGGAGUAGGACCCACCUUAAUGACCUUAUUUUAGCAUGAACAUUUCCUUAAAGAACUUAUGGGCUGGUGCAGCUUGGUGAUGGAGCACCUGCUUGCAUGUGCAAAGCCCUUGUUUCAAUUCCUAGCACUGAAAAAAAGAGAGAAAAUCAACAGACCCUCUCUCCAAAUCAACCACAUUCUAAGGUAUGGGGUGUUAGAACUUCAACUUAUAAAUUCUAGGGGGACAAUUCAGCCCACAGCAAUAGCCUUUAUCACCUCGUCAAGGUGGGGGAAGUUUCUCCACUGUAUUGUCACCAUUUUUCCUCGGUAACUGAUAUUUUAUGGAGAAGUGUACUCAGACUAGAUCAGUAUGCUGUAUCCUGUAUCAGACCCCCAUCCACAAGCUUUACCAUCCGCUGAUUAUUCUUAUUUGAGUCAGCUGUCAUUAUAAUAACCUGAAAUGAUUUUUUCUUUUUCCAUUAUGCCCUCUAUAAUUGGCAUUCUACUACAAAGACAAGCUUUCCUUUCUCACUUAUUUUUUAUUUAGAUCAGUAUACAAUUAUAGCUUUGGUUUUUUAUUCAGGGGGCUAUAAUUCGUUUCUAUCUUUUUUUCCCUCAAAUUGACCUUGAUUUGACCAAUGAAGUCCUUCCCUGUGUCUUUUUUUUUAAUUACAUGAUUUCAUUAUUUCUUAUUUUUUCUUUUUUAAAAUUUUAUUUAAUUUUUUAUUUUGAGGUAAGUUCUCACUAAACUGCUAAGUUGUCCAGGCUGGACUCAAACUUGAGAACUUCUUGCCUCAGCCUCUGAGGAUGCUGG
ensembl:lncRNA